AGCGAACGCUGGCGGCAGGCUUAACACAUGCAAGUCGAGCGGGCAUAGCAAUAUGUCAGCGGCAGACGGGUGAGUAACGCGUGGGAACGUACCUUUUGGUUCGGAACAACUGAGGGAAACUUCAGCUAAUACCGGAUAAGCCCUUACGGGGAAAGAUUUAUCGCCGAAAGAUCGGCCCGCGUCUGAUUAGCUAGUUGGUGAGGUAAUGGCUCACCAAGGCGACGAUCAGUAGCUGGUCUGAGAGGAUGAUCAGCCACCUUGGGACUGAGACGCGGCCCAAACUCCUACGGGAGGCAGCAGUGGGGAAUAUUGGACAAUGGGCGCAAGCCUGAUCCAGCCAUGCCGCGUGAGUGAUGAAGGCCCUAGGGUUGUAAAGCUCUUUUGUGCGGGAAGAUAAUGACGGUACCGCAAGAAUAAGCCCCGGCUAACUUCGUGCCAGCAGCCGCGGUAA
rnacentral:rRNA from 1 species